GUAGGGUGCGAGCGUUAAUCGGAAUUACUGGGCGUAAAGCGUGCGUAGGCGGUUCGUUAAGUUCGUCGUGAAAGCCCCGGGCUCAACCUGGGAAUGGCGAUGGAAACUGGCGGGCUGGAGUCUGGCAGAGGGGGGUGGAAUUCCGCGUGUAGCAGUGAAAUGCGUAGAGAUGCGGAGGAACACCGAUGGCGAAGGCAGCCCCCUGGGCCAAGACUGACGCUCAGGCACGAAAGCGUGGGGAGCAAACAGGAUUAGAUACCCUGGUAGUCCACGCCCUAAACGAUGCUCACUAGGUGUUGGGGAAGCGAUUCCUUGGUACCGUAGCUAACGCGUGAAGUGAGCCGCCUGGGGAGUACGGCCGCAAGGUUG
rnacentral:rRNA from 1 species